AACACUGUUAACCUGCGGUACCUGCGGAAGGAUCAUUAUAGUAUAUGGAAUCUCCAUUCUAUAAGCCCACUCUGCGUAUCUUGUAACUGUUGCUUCCAUGGGACUUGGUUCCGCCACACCGGCUUCACGGCUGGUGAGCGCCCAUGGAAGGAGAAACAAAACUCUUCUUUGAAAUGUAGUCAGUCUGAACAAGUUUUUAUAAACGUUAAAACUUUUAACAACGGAUCUCAGAUCGGAAGA
rnacentral:misc_RNA from 1 species